CCGGUUACAUUCCGAACCCGGAAGCUAAGCCCUCCAGCGCCGAUGGUACUGCACUCGUGAGGGUGUGGGAGAGUAGGACGCCGCCGGAC
rnacentral:rRNA from 1 species